CCUACGGGUGGCAGCAGUGGGGAAUAUUGGACAAUGGGCGAAAGCCUGAUCCAGCAACGCCGCGUGAGGGAUGACGGCCUUCGGGUUGUAAACCUCUUUCAUCCACGACGCGGUAGUGGGAGAAGAAGCACCGGCCAACUACGUGCCAGCAGCCGCGGUAAUACGUAGGGUGCGAGCGUUGUCCGGAAUUAUUGGGCGUAAAGGGCUCGUAGGCGGUUUGUCACGUCGGGAGUGAAAACUCAGGGCUUAACCCUGAGCCUGCUUCCGAUACGGGCAGACUAGAGGUAUGCAGGGGAGAAUGGAAUUCCUGGUGUAGCGGUGAAAUGCGCAGAUAUCAGGAGGAACACCGGUGGCGAAGGCGGUUCUCUGGGCAUUCCUGACGCUGAGGAGCGAAAGUGUGGGGAGCGAACAGGAUUAGAUACCCUUGUAGUC
rnacentral:rRNA from 1 species